rnacentral:lncRNA from 1 species
UCAGAUGUAACCCUGAGCAACGUCUGCUUUCAACUUAAACCAGCAAUAACCCCGGCGAAGAGUCAAACGUCAUCUUGCCCCUUCAACCCCUGCGCGUCGUCUCAACACUUCAUACAUACAUACAAUAAUGUCCCAUAAGAACCGAGGAGUAACAAUCCCUAGUGACUAUUACGCAUGAUAGUACUUUGGAUAGAAUUUGAAGCUUGAAG